AAUAAGGUCUCCGUUGGUGAACCAGCGGAGGGAUCAUUA
rnacentral:rRNA from 1 species